CGUUCCGAGGAGCGCUGCGACCGCGAGCAUGGCCAUCCGUGCGCUGCGGCCAGGCUCGGAGCGGCUUCCGCCCGGUUCGGCUCGGAGAUUUCCCGGCCUCGGUACGCGGGAGUGGGCAACGGCGCUCGCGAACC
rnacentral:ncRNA from 2 species